GGGCAGGAGAGGGGGACUGGCUGAGAAGGGCUGAGGCACUUUCUUGCCUUCUCUGCAGCUUCACACAGCACACAGAGAUGGGACCAUCAGACAGCGACAGCAUCAGAAAGGAUGGAGUUAAACUUUGGAAAUAAUGCUCAACUGUAGGAGUUCAGACGCUGAGGACCAAGAACCUUCUGUGAUGGGACAGCUAAAGACCAAGAGGGCUGUUGUGGCUGACAGGAUCGCGUCCAUUGUCUUGUGCUACCCUGGAAAUAGAAGUGAGGACUGUACGGAGCAGAGAAAGCGCUGAAGGAGGAGCAUCCUGGGAGAACUAUGCUGUUGAUGUGGGCACGGCCAUAUCAAGGACCUCAGAGCCUCUGGUCUGUGGAGGAACAGCAAAGCCUUCCCCUUGGCACAGUGAGUUGAGAGGUAUGAUGGAACCUUCCUCAGGGGACUGCCUGCCAGUGUUGACAGUGCGUGUAGAACAUGCGCGGCACAGCAUUCUCCCCACUGAAUGUUUAUAGGCUGAAGGCUGUGCCCCCAUAUCGAUGGAGACUAGCUAAACCUGUCUCCUAGAUCCAGCCCUAUACCACAAACCCUGCCUCCUAGUUUAUCUGUAUGUAAUAACCCCGCCUCCUCCUUCAGCUGUGCGCAAUAACCCC
rnacentral:lncRNA from 1 species